rnacentral:rRNA from 1 species
GAUUCUGGCUCAGGAUGAACGCUAGCUACAGGCUUAACACAUGCAAGUCGAGGGGCAGCAUUGGAGUAGCAAUACUCAGAUGGCGACCGGCGCACGGGUGAGUAACACGUAUCCAACCUGCCGCUUACUCGGGGAUAGCCUUUCGAAAGAAAGAUUAAUACCCGAUGGUAUAAAGAGUUCGCAUGUUCUCUUUAUUAAAGAAUUUCGGUAAGCGAUGGGGAUGCGUUCCAUUAGAUAGUUGGCGGGGUAACGGCCCACCAAGUCUACGAUGGAUAGGGGUUCUGAGAGGAAGGUCCCCCACAUUGGAACUGAGACACGGUCCAAACUCCUACGGGAGGCAGCAGUGAGGAAUAUUGGUCAAUGGACGAGAGUCUGAACCAGCCAAGUAGCGUGAAGGAUGACUGCCCUAUGGGUUGUAAACUUCUUUUAUAAGGGAAUAAAGUGAGGGACGUGUCCCUUUUUGUAUGUACCUUAUGAAUAAGGAUCGGCUAACUCCGUGCCAGCAGCAGC